rnacentral:rRNA from 1 species
GAUGAACGCUGGCGGCGUGCCUAAUACAUGCAAGUCGAGCGAACAGACGAGGAGCUUGCUCCUCUGACGUUAGCGGCGGACGGGUGAGUAACACGUGGAUAACCUACCUAUAAGACUGGGAUAACUUCGGGAAACCGGAGCUAAUACCGGAUAAUAUAUUGAACCGCAUGGUUCAAUAGUGAAAGACGGUUUUGCUGUCACUUAUAGAUGGAUCCGCGCCGCAUUAGCUAGUUGGUAAGGUAACGGCUUACCAAGGCAACGAUGCGUAGCCGACCUGAGAGGGUGAUCGGCCACACUGGAACUGAGACACGGUCCAGACUCCUACGGGAGGCAGCAGUAGGGAAUCUUCCGCAAUGGGCGAAAGCCUGACGGAGCAACGCCGCGUGAGUGAUGAAGGUCUUCGGAUCGUAAAACUCUGUUAUUAGGGAAGAACAAAUGUGUAAGUAAAUAUGCACGUCUUGACGGUACAUAAUCAGAAAGCCAAGGCUAACUACGUG